GCUUUAAUAAUUUAAAUAAAAUAUUGGUCUUGUAAACCAACAAUAAGUCACCUUUUAAAGCU
rnacentral:tRNA from 1 species